ACUCUGUCCCCGGCACGCUUGAGAGCGGGGGCCGCCAUCUCCAUGGCCACGGCUGCGAGCGGGCCCUGCGCCGGCGGGUCGCCGCGGGACAUCCUUUGGCGCGUGAGUUAGCGAGCCGUGGCGCUCCCUGCCUCUCUGGCGGUGCCUGCGCGCUUGGCUAAAGGGGCCUGUCUUGGAGGCGCUUUAGGAAUAGCGUGUAGGGAUCUGACCGCCUCGGGGAUUGGGUGCAAGGGUGUGUGGGCGUCCCCGAGUGGAAGUUAGGUCUGGGGUGUUGAGCUGGAGUCCGAAGUGGAAGUUUGUCAGCGUGGUUGGGAUGGCCCGAAUGGAAAUUUGGUGGAAAAGUUGUAGAGCAAAAGGUUUUGGGUUGGAGGAUAGUUACCAGCAUCGUUUGGUCAGUAGUGCUUCUACCCGUCUGCAUCACAGCCUUUAUAGUCUUAAGCAGCAUCAAUUUAUUCCACCCUAUACAGUGGCUGUCAGAUUCUUGCAAUGACUUCUAUAGUUCCCAAGUCAUCUUUCACCUCCUGCUGCUGGCCGUGGUCAUUAUAAUAAUAAGUAUUUUCAAUGUGGAAUUCUAUACAGUUGUGCCCUCCAUAUCCGGCUCCAGACUGGCCCUGAUAGCGCGGAUCCUGCAUCCCCAGCAGCUCACGCACUCCUUCAUCCACGCCGCGAUGGGAAUGGCUGUGGCUUGGUGUGCGGCCAUCAUGACCAAGGGCCAGUACAGCUCUCUCGUGGUUCCCUGCACUGGAACUGAGAGCUUAGAUAGCCCUGCUGCUCAGACCUGCUUGAAUGAAUAUCAUCUGUUUUUCCUACUGUCCGGAGCAUUCAUGGGCUAUAGCUAUAGUCUUCUGUAUUUCAUUAACAACAUGAAUUAUCUCCCGUUUCCUAUUAUACAGCAGUACAAAUUUUUGCGUUUCCGGAGAUCUCUCCUCUUACUAGUUAAACAUAGCUGUGUGGAAUCCCUGUUCAUGGUCAGAAAUUUCUGCAUUGUGUAUUAUUUUUUUGGCCAUAUUCCCAAAGCAUGGAUUAGCACUGCUCUGGACCUUCACACAGAUGAGCAGGCUCACAGGCCUCUUGACACGAUAGGCGGUCUCCUGAACGUCUCAUUACUCUACCACGUCUGGCUGUGUGGCGUCUUCCUCUUGGUGACUUGGUAUAGCUCAUGGAUACUCUUCAAAAUCUAUGCCACCGAGGCGCAUGUGUUCCCUGUUCAGCCGCCUUUUGCAGAAGCCUCAGAUGAAUGCCUUCCUAAAGUCUUAAACAGCAACCCCCCACGCAUCGUAAAGUAUUUGGCCUUACAGGACCUGAUGCUGCUUUCUCAAUAUUCUCCUUCUCGGAGGCAAGAAGUUUUCAGUCUCAGCCAACCAGGUGGACAUCCCCACAAUUGGACUGCUAUUUCGAGGGAGUGUUUGAAUCUUUUAAAUGAUAUGACUCAGAAACUGGUUCUCUACCAAGAAGCUGCUGCUACAAAUGGGAGGAUGUAUUCAUCAUACUCAGUGGAACCCAAGAAACUGAGCUCUGCAGAAGAAACUGCUUUUCAGACUCCAAAACCUAGUCAGACGCCUUCCGUGCCGCCGUUAGUUAAAACUUCACUGUUUUCUCCAAAAUUAUCUACACCCAAUGUUUCAAGUCCUUUUGGGACCCCGUUUGGCUCCAGCGUAGUGAACCGAAUGGCUGGAAUUCUUGAUGUAAACCCCUUCUCUGGGUCUCCCCAAAGUCCUCAGCUCAUAAGAAGAGGACCGAGGCUGUGGACUCACACUUCUGAUCAACAAGUGUCUGCAAUUUCUAACCCAUCUCCUUGCGCCUCUGUUACUGCUGAGGGUAAGACAGUGAGACAGCCCAGUGUGAUCUACUCGUGGAUUCAGAAUAAACGAGAACAGAUUAAGAAUUUCUUGUCAAAACGGGUGCUGAUAAUGUACUUUUUCAGUAAGCACCCAGAGGCCUCCAUUCAGGCUGUUUUUUCAGAUGCCCAAAUGCAUAUUUGGGCUUUAGAAGGUCUGUCUCACUUAGUAGCAGCGUCAUUUACAGAAGAUAGAUUUGGAGUUGUCCAGACCACACUCCCAGCUAUCCUUCAUACGCUGUUGACUCUGCAGGAGGCUGUCGACAAGUACUUCAAGCUGCCUCAUGCUUCUAGUAAACCACCCCGAGCUUCAGGAAGCCUUGUGGACACGUCCUACAAAACAUUGAGAUUUGCUUUCAGGGCCUCCCUGAAAACCGCUAUCUACCGUAUAACCACCACGUUUGGUGAACAUCUGAACGCUGUGCAGGCAUCUGCAGAACAUCAGAAAAGACUUCAGCAAUUCUUGGAGUUCAAAGAAUAGUGAAGUAAUAUAAACUGUGUUCAUUACCCUGCUGAUACAACUACAGAUGGGACAGUAAAUGUUGAGCAUUCUUGGAUCAGAAGAGAGCGGACUAAUUAGACGCUUCCUUUGUCGUGGUGCUUGCUUUGAAAACUAUACUUUAAUGGGAGAAAUCAUGGAAAGAAAUUCUCAGCAGAAUAACCGAAAACUGCCUUUUCUGUACCCAGUGCUUUUUGUGUGUGUGGUAUAAUAAAAUCUUUAUUCAGUUUUACAGGAGCGUCUAUGGCAGCCGAACUGUCUCUUGCUCAUAUAACUUGAUAAUGAUUAUUCACAAUUGUUUGUAGAAUUUACUUUUGAAAAGAGUGGAGCCAGCUCAGAAGUUAAAGCAGGUGGUCUUUCCCAGCUGCUCUAAGAGGUUAGCUCUUUGUAAACUCUCAAAAUACAUAAACUUAAGAUUAGUUUGUUUACUAAAGGAUAAAAAUGGUAACGGUGGAGAAAAACUCACAGUAAAAAUGUUGUCUACAGGACAUAUUUUGUUAAUCUGUUAGGUUGUGUUUUUGUUUCCAGGGACAAAUUAAAUUUGCAUGAUUGUCCAAAAAGAGUCUCGAUUUACAGAUGUUAACUCUAUAUAAAGGAAUGUAGAAAAAUUGAAAUCUUAAGGUACACGACUAAGCAUUCACAUUCGGGUAGAGCAACGUCUCUGAGUUCACUGUGUGAUGCUAGUGGAGGAUGAGGGCAUCUUGUUUCCUAGCCAGGCUUGCUUGCUUUUUUGAAAUAACAUUAAACAGUUGGCAGAGGUUUUCAAAUGAGGGGAAAAGGAGACCUGGAAACUUCCCUUUCCCUACGGUUUGUCUUUACCAGGUCAAAUUAUGUUGUGAGUCUAGUCUGUCUUCACAUGGGAGCAGCCUCUGCUGUGCUAACUGGCUAAUAAAAACACAGUAGGCCAAGCUUUAGAGCCAAAAGCACAUAGUCAUCAGAUAGGCAGGUGAAUGUCAGAGGCUCUCCGCAGGAGCGGGUACGCCCCGGAUGUACUGUACAGGCGGUCAUUUUAUGACUUAUGAGAUCAUUUCUUUGGAGAUGAAACAUGGGAGGUCCUGCUGGCAGAUAUUCAUUGGACCAGCUUUGGGCCAAAUCCUCCUUUAUAAAUCCUUUUCUGUUAUCUUUUUCUUUAAAGUCAGCACAGUAUUGUAUAUGAGUCUUAAAUGUGAUGUGUAUGCCUAGCCUUUGUCGGCUUCAUUAAUGUAUUACAUCUUUACAGUAGUGUAUUUUAGCCCCAGAUCUACUGCCCAUUCAACCAGCACAUGGCAAAUUAUAAACGAAUCCCGCUAGCCUUAAAAAUGUCUCUAUGGGACAAUUCCUCACCUUAAUUGUUAAGUUUUGGGUCUUUUAAGUCCCCUCUCUACCUUGUGUGUGAAGUUCUCUUGAUGUGUUGUGAAAGUUGGGUUUCCAGUGUGUUGGUUUCUUCAGAUACUCAGAGGAGCCUGGCUAGAUAACAGAAUUAAAGCCAUAGGCCUUUUGUGUUUGCUGGCUGCCUCUGACUGAAGCAUUUCGGGAGACAAAUCUAAAUGUUGUGUUUCCAUAAAGAACUGUGGCAUGUGUGUAGCUCACUAAAGAGAGCAUUCAUUUUAACUUGGACUUACUCCUGUGAAAUGUCUGGUCCAGUUUAGGUUCUUGCCUUUCCCACUUCCUCUGGGUGAAAGUAUAUUUGAUAGAAAUAUGAAUCUUUCUGGAUGUUCUGUGUCUGAGGUAUUGACCACACCAUGUCUGCCUGCUGGGGAGCAGGACACUGCCAUCCCCUCAGACCUGUACAGUCCCUGGAAGGUGAGGGGUCAUUCUUUUUCUCCAUUGUAUAUUGGUGGGCACUCUUUUUUUUUAAAGGCACCUUUCCUCCCGCAUGCAACGAGGACUUGAGGGAGGCCAGCAGGAGAGAAGCGUUGGCUUUGGUGAAGUUGCAGCCUGCUGACGUGAUGGCCUGAAGUUAGCCUUCACAAGCCUUUGUCCCUGUUAGUAACACCAUGCUCCGAGCCCCUCUGUGUGUGUCUCUAGUGGGACAUACAAAGCCACAGGCUGCUUGUGCAGAGUGACGGGACACUCACCCUUAUCCUGGUGAGUAGGCAUGGAGAAGUCCCACUCGUUCCUGUGCUUGGUUUCUUCAGCAGUGUUUUGUAUGUCUUCCUGUUAGUAUUUAUGGCAGUCUGCUUAUAUCCUUCUGUAUAUCAUCAGUACUGAAUUGGUAGAAAAAUAAAGUGACAAUUCCUAACUGAGACUGUUCAUCAAA